rnacentral:lncRNA from 1 species
GCCGGGCGGUGCAGAGGGGCGGGGCCGCGGGGCCUGGAAGCAGCCUCCGGGAUCUGCAAGUCUGGAAAGGCCACGUUGUGGACCUUGGCGCAGAGGUUAUGGGGGCGACCCGGAGCGGAUGGUUUCAGGAAAACUAGAACCCACCCUCAUGGCCUGAACAACUGGAGAGAAGAGGAUCGCAGCAAUUUAAAGCCAGCGGCAAGGAUCACAGUCCUGGGGUCAGCUCCCCUCAAUGGGAAGUAGAAUCUCUUUCUCCACCUCUUCAAUAUGGCUGGCCCUGGAACUUCCCUUGGCACACAGAAUGCAGCAGAAUUGGCUUCAUGUUGUUUCUAAGCCUUGGCCUCAGAGGCCUUGCAUGCUUCCUAACCCUGGCUCUAGGAAACUUGCUGCUGUCAUGUAAGCAAGCCCAGGCUAACCUACUGAAUGUUGGUGUGUCCCAGUCAAAUCCAGCACUGCAACCAAUAGCCAGGCAGCCACCAGACAUGUGAGUGGGGCCACCUCACACCAGCCAACCUCCACCAAGUCAUCAGAUGUAUGAGUGAGAACAGCCCAGAACAACUGAGCCCGUCCAGACCAGCGGAACAACCAAGCUGACCAGUAGACUUAGGAGCAGUAAACAGAUGAUUGUUAUGGAAGCCAUUCUGUUUAGGGUGUGUGUGUUAUUGCUUGCAUCCAAAUACAUCCUAUCUCAUCUAAUGAGAAAAGGCCCUGCUCAAGGGCUUUUGCAGCUGUAGUUGGGCGCCGGAAGUGUCUUUGUGGUCAUUUCUUACUCCAUACACGGGGAGAUCAAGGCUCAGACCAGGUAGUGUGACUGUGGACAACACUUUCCUUACCCCUCUGUGACACUUAAAUCAAUGAAGCAGAUUCACAGAAGCAUGCAUGCUCACUGAACACAGUAUUUGCAUUCCUACCUCCAAACCUUUGCUCCACCCAUGCAUCCAGUAAGAAUGCCUACUUCCCUCCUCUCCUCCAUCGAGUUCUUUCUUUGAGUUCUACCUUCCCUAGUCUUCCUCCACUGCACCAACCCACGGUGAUCCCUGUCUCUUCCAAAUGCUUUGUAACAUGGUAGGCAUCACUCACUUGUGACUCAUUGGACCAUUUUAAAACUUGGUUUUCUGUGUCUCUUUUCCAACAAAAUUACAAAUUCUUUGAGGGUAAAAGUCAGGCCUAAUAGUUCUCUGUACUCCUAGUAGUGCCAGUGUGGUAAAAAUUUAACUUGACAAUUAGCAAAACCAAUAAAUUCCUUACACUAUUCUGUUCCUGUAGGUAAUCAGUAUAUGAAUAUGGAUUCCUAUGUGAUGAUUUUCUGGUCUAUUUUGUCCCUUUUUUUUUUUUGUUACUUUAACCAGGCCAUAACAUAAAGGUUAUGCCAUUUGUUACUGUCAAGCUUAAUUAAGCCCAUUAUAAUUCGUUAACCCCUGUGCUUGCUUUGUAAUUAACAUUGAUUAACACAAACAAGUACAAAAUAGGCCAUCAGCACUUUCCAGAAGUGCUGAUUACAAUUACAUUGGUAAUUCAAUACGGUAUAGAAGAUGGCAGGAUAGUAACUUGCACUCUGUUUACAUAAGGAGACAAAUGCUACCAUGCAAAACUAAGCCAAGAAACAAAAUACUUUCCUCAUCCAACUCACUGAUUAAACCCUUACCCUGUUAACUCACCCUAUGACUGUGUAAACCUCCAGUAAGAUUAUUGAAGGCACAGCUCCAAGUAACUUGCUUAAUUGCAUUCCUGGGACAAAAGAGGGAAGCGCUUCAAAGCUGACAGACAGAUGGUAGAGUGUCCAGUCACAGCAAAGCAGGCCCCGAGGCUCAUGACAGACAACUCCAGGGCUGAGAUCUCAUUUGUAGCUCUGGGAUAAAGUCCAGGGUUUGAUGGCAGCAGGCUGAAGUGUAAAGAUGCUCAACAAUGCGCACCCCAGAGACACUGAAUCUGAAAAAGCUUAGAGUGAAUAAAAAUCUGGAAAUGAACUCUGUCUGUCUAUUCACCAUUCCCCCCAUAAAAAAAUUCCUAUAUUCCGGAUGGUGUUCAAGUUCCCUUUCCACAGGACCUCAGCAGUCAGGGAGGUGCUCCUGCAAUCUAUGUGAAGGAGAUUUCACCAUGCCCACAUGGGAAUACAGUAGAUUGCCAGUAGGGAUGCCACACCUUUGCAUUUCCUCGUAUUUCCAGGAACAAAGCUGGGGUGCCUAGGAGCUGCAGCAGUUUUUCUUCUGUGUAAAAUAAGCAAGCAGGACUCUGCCCCACUGCACUCCAGGGAAGGAUUAAGAGAAUUGAUAUCAUCCAAAUCAAUUGGCCCUGUGCAGAUGACUUGAUAAUGAGGCCAUUGAGUUUUUAUGGUUCACUAUUAUUGCUACAAAAAUUAUGCUGCAGAAAUCAUUCAAAUGCUCAAAAAGGAGCAUUAGUACGAAACUGGGUGUUCCAAAGUUGUUGCUGAGAGGUGUGUAAUGUUCCUGAAGAUCCCCAAGGCACUAAGACUUCUCUGUACAUGAAUGACUCAUAGAGAAGAAAUACACCAGAUGAAAAUAUAUGGAGAAGUUUGCCGAAUGUCAUAUAACUU